rnacentral:tRNA from 1 species
CAGGGAGACAACAAAAUGUUUAAUAUUAUUUUGUCACCUUAGGUCGAUCGGUACCUCACAUACUUAAUUUAUUAAGGAUUUCAUUUCCUAAGUUUUUCUAGGUCACACCCAUUAUUUUUCCUGGGCCAUUAGCUCAGGUGGUUAGAGCGCACCCCUGAUAAGGGUGAGGUCCCUGGUUCAAGUCCAGGAUGGCCCAUAUCUCUAUGUUGGGGGUAUAGCUCAGUUGGUAGAGCGCCUGCUUUGCAAGCAGGAUGUCAGCGGUUCGAGUCCGCUUACCUCCACUGAAAACCACCUCUACCAUAUAUUUUGUAGGGAAAUGUAUUGAGUCGUGAUCAAAUUCUGAACGAAUCUAGCUUCCUAAUUAUCAUAUUAAGAUGCUGGACUCAUUGAAUUAAUUUCAUUGUUUUCAGAGAACCUUGACAACUGCAUAGAUUAUUUUUAAAGACAAUAAGCAUCUUUAAUGAUGCAGAUUUAUUAUUUGUGCGAAUGCAUUAAUAACAAUUCUAUUAAGCUGAUGCUUCAAUUAUUGAAGUUAUUG